GAUGAACGCUGGCGGCGUGCCUAAUACAUGCAAGUCGAGCGAACAGACGAGGUGCUUGCUCCUCUGACGUUAGCGGCGGACGGGUGAGUAACACGUGGAUAACCUACCUAUAAGACUGGGAUAACUUCGGGAAACCGGAGCUAAUACCGUAUAAUAUAUUGAACCGCAUGGUUCAAUAGUGAAAGACGGUUUUGCUGUCACUUAUAGAUGGAUCCGCGCCGCAUUAGAUAGUUGGUAAGGUAACGGCUUACCAAGGCAACGAUGCGUAGCCGACCUGAGAGGGUGAUCGGCCACACUGGAACUGAGACACGGUCCAGACUCCUACGGGAGGCAGCAGUAGGGAAUCUUCCGCAAAGGGCGAAAGCUUGACGGAGCAACGCCGCGUGAGUGAUGAAGGUCUUCGGAUCGUAAAACUCUGUUAUUAGGGAAGAACAAAUGUGUAAGUAACUAUGCACGUCUUGACGGUACCUAAUCAGAAAGCCACGGCUAACUACGUG
rnacentral:rRNA from 1 species